rnacentral:ncRNA from 1 species
UCCCGUGCAGAAGCGGGAAUACUUAUACAAGAUGAGAAGACCCUGUGGAGCUUAAGUUGCAUAACUCAACAAAUACUAAUGCAUAACCUACCGGAACAACCCGUAUAAAGCCCCUGAGUUGUAAUCUUUGGUUGGGGUGACCUUGGAGCAUAAAAUAACCUCCGAAUGAGUAUAACCCAGAUUAACAAAUCUAAGUGUAACAAUACCAGUAAUUGACCCAUCUCUUGAUCAACGGAACAAGUUACCCCAGGGAUAACAGCACAAUCCUAUUUGAGAGCCCAUAUCGAAAAUUAGGGUUUAUGACUUCGAUGUUGGAUCAGGACAUCCAAAUGGUGCAACCACUAUUAAAGGUUCAUUUGUUCAAUGAUUAAAGUCCUACGUGAUCUGAGUUCAGACCGGAGAAAUACAGGUCUGUUUCUAUCAGUAAAU